rnacentral:rRNA from 1 species
UGGGCUUGACAUCCCACGAACCUGCCUAAAGGCAGGAGUGCCCGCAAGGGAGCGCGGAGACAGGUGGUGCAUGGAUGUCGUCAGCUCGUGUCGUGAGAUGUUGGGUUAAGUCCCGCAACGAGCGCAACCCUCACCCCUUGUUGCCAUCAGGUCAUGCUGGGCACUCUAGGGGAACUGCCCCGGUCAACGGGGAGGAAGGCGGGGAUGACGUCAAGUCAUCAUGCCCCUUACGCCCUGGGCUACACACGUGCUACAAUGGCCGGUACAAAGGGAUGCAACGCCGUGAGGCAGAGCCAAACCCAAAAAGCCGGUCUAAGUUCAGAUUGGAGUCUGCAACUCGACUCCAUGAAGGAGGAAUCGCUAGUAAUCGCGUAUCAGCACGACGCGGUGAAUACGUUCCCGGGCCUUGUACACACCGCCCGUCACACCACGAAAGCCUGCUGUACUCGAAGUCGCUGAGA